rnacentral:lncRNA from 1 species
AAAUGAAGAUGGAAGAAUCACUAUUUGUCCUGCAUUGUGAGCAUGUCCAUCAUUUUGUAUUGCAUCUCUGUGAUGGAUGUAGUCCUCAGUUCAGCUUUUUUUUUUUUAUUCAUCUUGAUAAAAAGAAGCCUUUCAGAUUCAAUUUUGGCAUACAUGUCAACAAAGAACUGAUUUAACAAUUGACCAAAUCUGAGCAGAUGGUUAAAGUUGUUUUGCCUCAGCAUGAUUUUGUAUGCAUAAAAGUCCUGAACAUAUAUCUUCUUGUUUGUCUGCAAUCCAGUGUUUGGGUCAGUUUAUUUUUAGAGUAAGUGGUACCUAUCUGUUCCUUGCAAAAAAUCAAUGGAUACUGUAGAGCAUCAUAGGAUCUGUGAAUCUCUGCAAUCUUUUGAAGUGUUCCAUCCUGUUUCUGGAGAACUAUGUCCCUAUUUUUGUCAAAGUCUUGCCCAACAAUGCGAAUGGUGACUUCACUUGUUGUUAGAGCAUUAAAUUUUCUUUCAUGUUCUCCAGAAGGAGUUUUGUCUGUCCUAAUUAUUACUUAGUCCUCAGAACCUGCUCUUUGCAUUGCUGACUUGAAUUCUGUGGAUUUUCUUGAUGUAACAAGUCUUGAAGAUCCAGAAUGAUACUCAACUUUAAUUCCUGGGAAAUAUUUCUUCUUGCCUCUGCUGCUCAUGAUAAUUUUUAAUGAAGUAGAUUUGGAGAAACUGCUUGAGUUCAUUUGGAAGUGGCCAAAGAGAUCCAAUCCUGUGAUAAACUUGGCCCUGAAU